UAUCAGGUGUUAGGGGUCUCCCCUAACGCUACCUAUAGAGAGAUUAAGGAAAAGUUUAAAGAGCUGGCUUUAGCGGUUCAUCCAGAUAAAGUCAAAGAUAACGACAGCGAAAAUAACAUAAACUUUAUACACGUUCAGGAAGCAUUUUCAAUUUUAAGAAACGAAGAAUGCCGUACAUUUUAUGAUGCUCAAUUACAAGAUCGACUUUUAAGUAGAGACUAUGUUACCAACGAUAAAUUGACCUUGGAUAACAUGAAAUAUAUAGAUGAUGAAAAUAUUUACCAGUACCCUUGUCGUUGUGGUGGAAUAUAUGAAAUAGAAAGCCAAGAGGUAGAAGAGGGAUGGACCUUGGUCUUCUGUACACACUGUUCACUAUCCAUUGAAGUGCUUUUUAGAAAUUAAAGCUUUUAAGAAAAUCUUAGAUAUGUUAAUACAGGAAUAUAAAAAAUUUCAAUACUUGAGCUAUUUAAUAAACAUACCUGUGCG